UUAUUGUUUUUUUCUUGUUAUUGAUAUCUUGGUGGAAGGCUGGGGGUUAACUGUAUAAUAAAAUAUGCUGACUUUGAAAAUUUCUGAUUUUACAACCAUCAGAGUAGAUACUUUUGUACUUAAGUCAUUCUCCUUUCUCUCUCCUUGUAAAUUAGUGUUUUAUUCAUCUUUUUCAGAGAUUAAGAUUUUUCAUAUUGGUACAUUUUAGUUACAAUUGAGCUCUUUUUAGAUGCUAAUACUAAUAUACAUAAAGACUAGGAUAUAUAAGUUACUAUAAAUUAUACUGUAGUUUCAUUUAGUUUCUAAAAUAAGGAUUGUAUUAAGCCAUUCUUGCAUUGCUAUAUAAAACUACCUGAGAUGGGAUAAUUUAUGAAGAGGUUUCAUUGGCUUCCAGUUCUGCAGGCUUUACAGGAAGUAGAAUGCUGGCACCUGCUUGGCUUCUGGGGAAGCCUUAGGGAGCUUUCAAUCAUGGUUGAAGCUGCUGUCCGGGACCUGCAGAAUUAUCAGUGAUAAAAUCUAUUAAUUAGAAAGAUCUCUUAGACACAAAAAACCCUUCAAAAAAAUCAAUGAAUCCAGGAGCUGGGUUUUUGAAAAGAUUAACAAAAUAGACCACUAGCCAGACUAAUAAAGAAGAAAAGAGACAAGAAUCAAAUAGACACAAUAAAAAAUGAUAAAGGGGUUAUCACCACUGAUUCCACAGAAAUAUGAACUGCCAUCAGAGAAUAGUGUGAACACCUCUAUGCAAAUAAACUAGAAAAUCUAGAAGAAAUGGAUAAAUUCCUGGACACACACACUCUCCCAAGACUAAACCAGAAAGAAGUCGAAUCCCUGAAUAGAUCAAUAACAAGUUCUGAAAUUGAGGCAGUGAUUAACAGCCUACGAACCAGAAAAGCCCAGAACCAGACAGAUUCACAGCCAAAUUUUACCAGAGGUACAAAGAGGAGCUGGUACCAUUCCUUCUGAAACUAUUCCAAACAGUAGAAAAAGAAGGAAUCCUCCCUAACUCAUUUUAUGAGGCCAGCAUCAUCCUGAUACCAAAACCUGGCAGAGACAAAACAAAAAAUUUCAGGCCAACGUCUGCAAUGAACAUCGAUGCGAAAAUCCUCAAUAAAAUACUGGCAAACCAAAUCCAGCAGCAUAUCAAAAAGCUUAUCCACCACGAUCAAGUCAGCUUCACCCCUGGGAUGCAAGGCUGGUUCAACAUAUGCAAAGCAAUAAGCCUAAUCCAUCACAUAAACAGAACCAGUGACAAAAACCACAUGAUUAUCUCAAUAGAUACCGAAAAGGCCUUCAAUAAAAUUCAACAUCCCUUCAUGCUAAAAACUCUCAAACUAGGUAUUGAUGGAACAUAACAUAAUUAGAGCUGUUUAUGACAAAUCUACAGCCAGUAUCAUACUGAAUGGGCAAAAGCUGGAAGCAUUCCCUUUGAAAACUGGCACAAGGCAAGGAUGCCCUCUCUUACCACUCCUGUUCAACAUCGUAUUGGAAGUUCUGGCCAGGCCAAUCAGGCAAGAGAAAGAAAUAAAUAGGAAGAGAGGAAGUCAAACUGUCUUUGCAGAUGACAUGAUUGUAUAUUUAGAAAACCCCAUUGUCUCAGCCCAAACACUCCUUAAGCUGAUAAGCAACUUCAGCAAAGUCUCAGGAUACAAAAUCAAUGUGCAAAAAUCACAAGCAUUCCUAUAUAUCAGUAAUAGACAAGCAUAGAGCUAAAUCAUGGGUGAACUCCCAUUCAUAAUUGCUACAAAGAGAAUAAAAUGCCUAGUAAUAAAACUUAGAAGGGAUGUGAAGGACCUCUUCAAGGAGAACUACAAACCACUGCUCAAGGAAAAAGGACACAAAUGGAAAAACAUUUCAUGCUCAUGGAUAGGAAGAAUCAAUAUCGUGAAAAUAACCAUACUGCCCAAAGUAAUUUAUAGAUUCAAUGCUAUUUCCAUCAAGCUACCACUGACUUUCUUCGCAGAAUUAGAAAAAACUACUUUAAAUUUCAUAUGGAGCCCAAAAAAAGCCCAUAUAGCCAACACAGUUGUAAGCAAAAAGAACAAAGCUGGAAGUGUCACAGUAGACUUCAAACUAUACUAAAAGGCUACAGAAGCCAAAACAGCAUGAUACUGAUACCAAAACAGACAUAUAGACCAAUGGAACAGAACAGAGACCUCAGAAAUAACUACACAUCUACAGCCAUCAUCAUGAUCUUCGACAAACCUGAUAAAAACAAGCAACAGGAAAAGGAUUCCCUAUUUAUUAAAUGGUGCUGGGAAAACUGGCUAGCCGUAUGCAUAAAACUGAAAUUGGACCCCUUCCUUACACCUUAUACAAAAAUUAACUUAAGAUGGAUUAAAGACUUAAAUGUAAAACCCAAAACCAUAAAAACCCUAAAAGAAAAACUAGGCAAUACCAUUCAGGACAUAGGCAUGGGCAAAGACUUCAUGACUAAAACGCCAAAAGCAAUUGCAACAAAAACCUGAAUUGACAAAUGGGAUCUCAUUAAACUAAAGAGCUUCUGCACAGCAAAAGAAACUACCGUCAGAAUGAACAGGCAUCCUACAGAAUGGGAGAAAUUUUUCGCAAUCUAUCCGUCUGACAAAGGUCCAAUAUCCAGAAUCUACAAGGAAUGUAAACAAAUUUACAAGAAAAAACAACCCUAUCAAAAAGUGGGCAAAGGAUACGAACAGACACUUCUCAAAAGAAGACAUUUAUGCGGCCAACAAACAUGAAAAAAAGCUCAUCAUUCCCUGGUUUUUAGAGAAACGCAAAUCAAAACCACUAUGAGGUACCAUCUCACGCCAGUUAGGAUGGUGAUCAUUAAAAAGUCAGGAAACAACAGAUGCUGGUGAGUCUGUGGAGAAAUAGGAAUGCUUCUACACUGUUGGUGGGAGUGUAAACUAGUUCAAGCAUUGUGGAAGACAGUGUGGUGAUUCUCAAGGAUCUAGAACCAGAAAUACCAUUUGACCCAGCAAUCUCACACUAGUGGGUAUAUACCCAAAGAAUUAUAAAUCAUUCUACUAUAAAGACUCAUGCACACAUAUGUUUAUUGCAGCACUAUUUACAAUAGCAAAGACUUGGAACCAACCCAAAUGUCCAUCAGUGAGAGACUGGAUAAAGAAAAUGUGGCACAUAAUAUACCAUGGAAUACUAUGCAGCCAUAAAAAUGAGUUAUGUCCUUUGCAGGGACAUGGAUGAAGCUGGAAGCCAUCAUUCUCAGCAAACUAACACAGGAACAGAAAACCAAGCACUGCAUGUUCUCACUCAUAAGUGGGAGUUGAACAGUGAGAACACAUGGACACAGGGGAACAUCACACACUGGCGCCUGUCGGGGCAUUGGGGGUAAGGGGAGGGAGAGCAUUAGGACAAAUACCUGUGGGACUCAAAACCUAGAUGAUGGGUUGAUAGGUGCAGCAAACCAUCAUGGCACAUGUAUACCUAUGUAACAAACCUGUACGUUCUGUAUGUGUAUUCCAGAACUUAAGAAAGCUCUCUUAGUUUUGACCUGACUUCUCUAUCUGCAGCAUGUAUUCUUUGCCCCUGGGGAAUAUAAAACAAGCUUCAUCCAAUUUCUGCAUUAUAGCCCUUAGAUACUUUGAAGAUAAUUAUGACUUUUAAGUAUCUUUGGAUUUUUCUUUUUCUUUUUUUUUGAGAUGGAGUCUGGCUCUGUUGCCCAGGCUGGAAUGCACUGGCGCAAUCUCGGCUCACUGCAAGCUCCGCCUCCCGGGUUUGUGCCAUUCUCCUGCCUCAGCCUCCCUAGUAGCUGGGACUACAGGCGCCCGCCACCACGCCCGGCUAAUUUUUGUAUUUUUAGUAGAAACGGGGCUUUAUCAUGUUAGCCAGGAUGGUCUUGAUCUCCUGACCUCGCAAUCCACCCACCUCGGCCUCCCAAAGUGCUGGGAUUACAGGCGUGAGCCACCGCGCCCAGCCGGAUUUUUCUUAAUGAAAACUCACAGAUAGCAUCAUUUGAAAUAAGGUUAGUGUUUGAGAAUCGGUUAUAUAAGUCAGUCUAAAAAUAGAUCACAGUAGGAAAUACCCUGUGAAUUUUGUUACUGUAUCGGCAAAUUUGCAUUCCUCCUCUGUGUGUACUUUGCAUGCAAAUAUAGCAACAUUGCCCUAAGUAAAUAAAAUGGUUCUAGACAAAAACCUGGUUACAAAGUAGACACCAAAUUUCACUGGAAAUAACCAGUAAUACACUUGGAGAUAAGUUACCAAACAAGAGUGUAGGAGAACCAAAUGAUUGCCAAAGACUACGAAUUUGGAAGAGAUACAUCAGAAGAUAAGCGGAGGCACAGAAGUGGAAAUGAAACUAUGCCAUGUGGUGUACAGGUUCAAAACUGUUUUGCUGAAUUCCUCAGUUCAAGAUACCCUCAAGAACAAUUUUCAUUCUAGCUGUGGAGCACUAGGGAACACAGGAGGGUCAGUGAUGGCAUUCCCCAUAGUUAGGUGACAUCCGUAUAUCUGGAAAUGCUGAUUUCAGUAGCAGCUUCUCUUAUGAAUUCAGGAAAAAAUGCUCAUGCUUUUGACUCAUUCUAAAUUGUGAAAUCUUUUUUGAGAGUUAAAAAAAAUUAGAAGAGAUGUUUAAGGUGUAAAUAAAUAUGUUAUCCUAGAUAAUCUGUGGAAUUUUCAAAACAAUAUGGUAUUUUUUUAAGUCACACUUUAAAAUAUGGUGAUUUUUUUGUUCUUGUUUUACUGGUUGUGUUUCUGUAUUGGUUAAUCUGGAGAGGAAAUAAGAGUGAAGACUGUGUUUUUUGUGGUCAGCAGCCUUAUACGACAGCGGAAGCAGCCUCUGCGUUUAUAGAGGAGGGUCAGCUGUACCUGUGAUUUAUCUUGGUGUCUUCUCCAGUGUCUCUUCUAACUAGUGUUUAUCUUCUGGGAUUACCAAAUUUGGCUGGCCAUCCAAAUUGCCAGAGAAGCUUCUUAAAAAACAUAGAUUCUCAGGUUCCAUCUUCCAAGGUUCUGAUAGUGUCUGCAAAGCUCUAUAGGCAUGCUAAUGAAAUAAUGGGUUCGGAAAAGAAUGAUUGCCAUAAAUAAAAUAGUAUACACAGUCAUUCACCACAUAACAAUGUUUUCAUCAGCAGUGGAGCACAUACCAGAAGGUGAUCUCAGAAGAUGAUAAUACCUUGUUUUCCUGUACCCUUUCUAUGUUUAGAUACACAAAUGCUUACCCAAGUGUUAUAGUUGCCUCCAGUAUUCGGCACAGGAACAUGCUGUACAGAUUUGUAGCCUAUCAGUAGGCUACACCAUAUAGCCUAGGUGUGUAGUGGCUACUGCAUCCGUGUUUGUGCAGGUGUACUCUAGGAUGAUGUUUGUCCAAGAACAGAAUCUCCUAAAAGAUGAAUUUCUUAAAAUGUGGUCUCCUGGCUAAGCGACCUGUGACUGUACUUUACCUUUCAUUUAGAUGUCACAAAACUCUUUUAAAGAAAACUAUUUAAGAUUAUAUACUUUCAAAUAUGUACCUUAAAAUAUGUGAAUUAAGAAUAUGUUAAUAGUUUAUUUAAAAAGAAGGAUGUGUAAUUGUAGGGAUAAAAUAUGGCUUAUAAUUUUAUUCAAAUCAAGUCUAGUUUAUUCUUUGAAUCUAAAAUUCUGGCUGUUGAGAGCCAAAUAAUUUAUGACUAUUUAAUAAUAUGUAUUAUUUAGAGUAAUAUAUGCAUACUUAUACAAUUAAGACUGAUAUACAAUACAAUUAUAUGUUAUAGAGAAUAAGAAUAAUGUGUAAUUAACAUAUAAUUGACAAUACCAUGUACUAAAAUGCUUAUAAACAUAUAAAAGCAGUUCAGAGGAUGGAUAAUUAGAAAGCGUAAUGUCAAAGUAGGAGCAAAGUCAGGAAGAAUAAGCCCUUCUCAGGUCUGCUGAUGAAGUCGUGUGCGUGAGCAAGAUGGGUGUGGGGAGGCUGGAGCACAGCCUAGCGGGCUGCCACGUGUGCACAGGUGCACCAGCGCAGGAGAGGAGCAGCAGAGCCUGGUCCUGCCUGUCCUUUUCGUGCCGUGGCACUAUACGCAGGAGAUGGGACUCAGAGCGAGGCAGUUGCUGGGUGACAAGGACAGUAGUGUGGGCUGAGGGCAAAGGGUGAAAGUGAGUGAGGCCUGCUAUUUAGGCCUGGCAGAUUUCUCAGAGGUGACAUUAACACCCCCACCCCCCAACACACACACACACACACACACACACACACACACACUCAUCUGGAUGGGAGUUUGAAUUGUUACUAAGGAGAAACUGUUAGUGAACUUUCUUGCCAUUUCUGAAUCUGACCUUGACUGAAAAAUUGAGUAAAAAAUGAAGUUGGUAGGCUGUGAUUUAAUAAUAAUAACUUAAGUCACACACUAAUCUUCAUAAAAUAAAGGAAUUGUCUUUAUUCUUUUUUUGUUGUUUUUUUUGAGACGGAGUUUCGCUCUUGUUGCCCAGGCUGGGGUGCAAUGGCGUGAUCUCGGCUCACUGCAACCUCCACCUCCCAGGUUCAAGCGAUUCUCCUGUCUCAGCCUCCCGAGUAGCUGGGAUUACAGGCAUGCGCCACUGUGCUCGGCUAAUUUUUUGUUGUUUUUUUUAGUAGAGACAGAGUUUCUCCAUGUUGGUCAGGGUGGUCUCGAACUCCCGGCCUCAGGUGAUCCUCCUGCCUUGGCCUCCCAAAGUGCUGGGAUUACAGGCGUGAGCCAUCAUGCCUGGCCUCUGUCUAUUCUUAAUUCAAAAUUUGCACAUCCUAUUAAUGAGAUUUUUACUCCAUGGACAGUAAAACAAGCUUUAGAUCAGUGAGACUUGCGUUAUCUAAUGUUGGAUUCAAGUGUGAGCAUUGCUAACAGGAUUAGUACACGGGGUUUACUCCAACCUACCUUAAUGAUAAACUAUUAAAGAGCAUUUUGUGGAGUGCUUGAAUUGCUCUAGAGUCACAGAAAUGUGGUGGAGAAUAGAAACUGAUCUCACUGCAGUGCUCAGUUCUUGGCAGAGCUGAGGCCUAGAAAGAUUAAGCCCUUGUCUGAGGCCAUCCAGUGGAAAGGUAGCAAAGUUGGGACAGAAAUUUGCCUACCACUGGAUUCAGUGGAGUGUAAAUCUGUAGAAUACCACCUUUCUGCCCCAAAGAGCUUAUAAAAUCCUGAAUAAUUUGCCCCUCCUUGUAUUAACUGGAACCUAGAGCUAGAAAAACACUGUGUCACAUGUCAGGUUUCUGCAGGUCAGACUGAAGUAGCCAUUAUUCAGUGAUUUCUAUCUGUUCUCUUGGCAAAUCUGUCAGCUUUACUUUGAAAUUGUGUCAGCUCACCUUUCCUUUGCAAACUUGCAUCCAGAGUCUUAAAUGAAAACCCUGCUGUCUUUAUCUUCUAAUUAGUGUUUAUUGGAAGGGUCUGCCUGUAGACUUACUUUCUGUGUAGGCCUCAGCUCUGCUGGGGCUCCCUUGACAGUGCUGGGGAUUGCAUUGUCAUGGACGUUGAGAUUAGCUCCACAUUUCUUAUCUGUAUUCUAAUACGGCUGGAUGGCCCUGGGGCGUCCUCACAUACCUUCUGUGGGGAGCUCUUCCUCCAUCAUGGCCAAUCUGUCAUCUCUGUCAGGUCAUCGUAUAUUGAGUCUUUUUCCCCAAAUCAUCUACUAGACUCAUGAUUUCCUCUUAUUUUACUCCUUAGCUCCAUUAAUUUAAAUCACUUAUAAAACUGAAUUUCAUUAAGCGCUUUUAAUUGAAAGGGAGCCCUUACAACAUGAUGAUAUAUUUCCUGGGAACGCAUGCACAUCCCAUGAUUGAGUAAUACCAUAGCUGUGCUAGAUGUGCAUCCCUUUCUCUGCUGUUAGUCAUACAGUUAAUAUCCGUGGUAGAUUGUUCCAGAGGACAGAUCCGGUGGUAUGCUGGUAGCAGUUUAAUCUGAUUGCAAAGAGAUAUUUGAAAGUGGUCAGUGACCUGAAAUUUCUGAUUUCUGAAGUAAAUUACUUUUCAGUUUCCUAGGCUCCCUAGAAAUUAUUCAGAUAUUUACAAUAUCAUCUUACAUUGGGAGUUAUCCUGAUAUUCUUUGAUCAGUAAUUAUGUACUGAGCAUCUGCUGUGUAUCACAAUAUUCAGGCUGCAAGUACCUAGCACUAAGCUAGUUCCUGUAGAGGAUACAAAGUAAUGCAAAUUACUUAAGCGCCCCAUGCCUCAGCUUCUCCACAUUUAAAAUAGAGAUGAAACUCAUAUGCUAGAUCCACAUAUAGACCUGUGGGACACUUGUAGUAUUGAGAGAGAAUGUGAACACAGAACGCUGAGCAUACAAUAUGAUACUGUCGUAAAAGCACAUCCAAGAUAUGUUCCGCAAUUCUCCUACUUAGGAGUCAAAAGAAGAUGAGGAUUUGCCUGGAUGGAGGGAACAGGAUUCCACUUUGAAGCAAGUUCUCAUCCAUAGGAGAGCUCCUGGAGUAAGGGAAGGCUGCGAGUGUAGGGGAAUGGGGGGAAUGAUGCCAUCCUGCUUGCUUUAGCCUUUGGGGAAUUUGGUUGCCCUGUGAUCUCCAUCCUUGGAUCUUUGGUUCUCAUACCUGUCAGUUAUUACUGAGAACCCUCAAAGAACUUUCGUUACUCCAGGUUACAUCUAUCUGUAUGUACUGUGUUAGUAAUUAAAAACUCAGAAAUUAUUUAUUUAGUUAUUCAUUUAAAAUGAACAGUAAUGAACCCAUAAAUGACGUUUUUAAUGAAAGGUAACUAUAUUUCCAAAACAAACAAAAAAUAAUGAGAAUCGCAUUGCCUUGUUGCAGACCUUUGUACUGUCUGGUUUGAUAUCAGAUGGCUGAUUUUUCAUUAUCUGUUCUGCAUUCAUUCUCGUGUGUUUUUCAUAUCCAUAAGACUGAAUAUAUGAAGAAAACCCAUUCUCAUACAAAUACACAGUUGAUGGAGGGCAGACUCUUUUAUUAGCCUUUUCAAAUACGGAUAUUCUUUUUUGAUGCUACAAUAAAACUCAACAAGUAGUAAUUUCUUAAAGGGUACUUGAAGUAUGAAAUCUGAAAUGCUGUCAGUGAGCUUUUUAUACCUUGUUACGCUAAAAUCCAUUGAGCUAGCUUAAAUGCUGAAGGGAUUCUUUUGCCCACUUAGGAUUUUGUAACCUGCAUUAUUCACUUGGAAAAUAAUUGAUUGACAUAGAUCUUCGAAAUGCCAACAAUACCCAAAAAUCACAUUUAAUAUCACCAAUCUCAUCACAGAAAAGUCUUAAAUAUUGUAAAGCUGUCAAGCUCAGGAUAGCUGAUGAAAAUUGUUCCAAACUUUUAAUUUUGCUUAAAAGCUCAGAUGUUAUUGACCACGAGGAUAAAGUUCAUUUAAGUUACAGGUUCACUUUGUUUAUUGUUGAAAAAAAUCUGCAUUGUUCCAGUUAGCCAUAGUUUGUCAGUUCUUUCAAUCAGAGGUGGUGUCCUAUGAGAAAAAAGCGCCUAAUUUCACUCACAAGACAAACAAUUGGAUAAGUGCAUUUCUUCACAACAACCAGUGUACUCGGUGUAUGGGGGAGUGUUUCCUGUGCCGUCUACAGCAUGUUACAGAGUUCUGUGCUUAGGGGUCCAGGUUUAGUGAGAGUAAUUGUGACUAAGUAAAAUUGGCUUUUUGACUGUGAGCACCUGGCAGUGGAGAAUAACUCCCAUUUAGCGAGGUGCCACUGUCUUGACUUGCACUCACAGUCCGGUAGUUUGAUCUGCUGUGGCUUUUGCACCAUCAGACCACAUGUCAGCACUGGGAGGAAGGCACUUCUUAGCAUUGUUGUGAAGUAGUUUGACUUAGAGGACACUAAGGUUUCUGCAGACUACACUUGAGAAUUACUGCUCUGUGGUAUAAUAGCAGUUGCCAAAGUGUCAGACCAAAAAUACAUAUUUUGGUGGGACCAUAGUCUUAUCUUUGAUCUGUUAACAGAAGUCAGGCGUUUCACAUUGGCCCUACUGAAACCAUUCUUUCUUCUGAAUUCUAUUUAUUCCAUUGUAACUUGGAAAGCAACACAUUGUAUAUCAUCUGGUAUAGGUGAAUGCAAGACGAAAUGAUGAGGCAUUUUGAUCACCUCUUGUAAGAGAAGUGGACCUUUAAAUUCUUAGGAAAAGUUAAUCAACAUUUAACUGGACUGUUUACAUUUUGGUUUAUUUCCCCUA